rnacentral:rRNA from 1 species
AGUGAACGCUGGCGGUAGGCCUAACACAUGCAAGUCGAACGGCAGCACAGUAAGAGCUUGCUCUUACGGGUGGCGAGUGGCGGACGGGUGAGGAAUACAUCGGAAUCUACUUUUUCGUGGGGGAUAACGUAGGGAAACUUAGGCUAAUACCGCAUACGACCUACGGGUGAAAGCAGGGGAUCUUCGGACCUUGCGCGAUUGAAUGAGCCGAUGUCGGAUUAGCUAGUUGGCGGGGUAAAGGCCCACCAAGGCGACGAUCCGUAGCUGGUCUGAGAGGAUGAUCAGCCACACUGGAACUGAGACACGGUCCAGACUCCUACGGGAGGCAGCAGUGGGGAAUAUUGGACAAUGGGCGCAAGCCUGAUCCAGCCAUACCGCGUGGGCGAAGAAGGCCUUCGGGUUGUAAAGCCCUUUUGUUGGGAAAGAAAAGCAGCAGGUUAAUACCCCGCUGUUCUGACGGUACCCAAAGAAUAAGCACCGGCUAACUUCGUG